GCCAGGAUGUAUGCUUAGAAGCAGCAAUCAUUUAAAGAGUGCGUAAUAGCUCACUGGU
rnacentral:rRNA from 1 species